CCUACGGGGGGCAGCAGUGAGGAAUAUUGGUCAAUGGACGAGAGUCUGAACCAGCCAAGUAGCUUGAAGGAUGACUGCCCUAUGGGUUGUAAACUUCUUUUAUAAAGGAAUAAAACGAGGCACGUGUGCCUUUUUGCAUGUACUUUAUGAAUAAGGAUCGGCUAACUCCGUGCCAACAGCCGCGGUAAUACGGAGGAUCCGAGCGUUAUCCGGAUUUAUUGGGUUUAAAGGGAGCGUAGAUGGGUUGUUAAGUCAGUUGUUAAAGUUUGGGGCUCAACCGUAAAAUUGCAAUUGAUACUGGCAGUCUCGAGUAUGGUUGAGGUAGGCGGAAUGCGUGGUGUAGCGGUGAAAUGCAUAGAUAUCACGCAGAACCCCGAUUGCGAAGGCAGCAUACCAAA
rnacentral:rRNA from 1 species